rnacentral:rRNA from 1 species
ACUCCUACGGGAGGCAGCAGUGGGGAAUAUUGGACAAUGGGCGCAAGCCUGAUCCAGCCAUACCGCGUGGGUGAAGAAGGCCUUCGGGUUGUAAAGCCCUUUUGUUGGGAAAGAAAUAAAUCUGGCUAAUACCCGGGUGGGAUGACGGUACCCAAAGAAUAAGCACCGGCUAACU